GGGGAAUUUUGGACAAUGGGGGCAACCCUGAUCCAGCCAUGCCGCGUGUCUGAAGAAGGCCUUCGGGUUGUAAAGGACUUUUGUUAGGGAGCAAGUCCUGCAGGUUAAGAGCCAGUAGGGAUGAGAGUACCUAAAGAAUAAGCACCGGCUAACUACGUGCCAGCAGCCGCGGUAAUACGUAGGGUGCAAGCGUUAAUCGGAAUUACUGGGCGUAAAGCGUGCGCAGGCGGUUUAGUAAGACAGGCGUGAAAUCCCCGGGCUCAACCUGGGAACUGCGCUUGUGACUGCUAAGCUAGAGUACGGCAGAGGGGGGUGGAAUUCCACGUGUAGCAGUGAAAUGCGUAGAGAUGUGGAGGAACACCGAUGGCGAAGGCAGCCCCCUGGGCCGAUACUGACGCUCAUGCACGAAAGCGUGGGUAGCAAAC
rnacentral:rRNA from 1 species